rnacentral:rRNA from 1 species
GAUGAACGCUGGCGGCGUGCCUAAUACAUGCAAGUCGAGCGAACAGACGAGGAGCUUGCUCCUCUGACGUUAGCGGCGGACGGGUGAGUAACACGUGGAUAACCUACCUAUAAGACUGGGAUAACUUCGGGAAACCGGAGCUAAUACCGGAUAAUAUAUUGAACCGCAUGGUUCAAUAGUGAAAGACGGUUUUGCUGUCACUUAUAGAUGGAUCCGCGCCGCAUUAGCUAGUUGGUAAGGUAACGGCUUACCAAGGCAACGAUGCGUAGCCGACCUGAGAGGGUGAUCGGCCACACCGUAACUGAGACACGGUCCAGACUCCUACGGGAGGCAGCAGUAGGGAAUCUUCCGCAAUGGGCGAAAGCCUGACGGAGCAACGCCGCGUGAGUGAUGAAGGUCUUUGGAUCGUAAAACUCUGUUAUUAGGGAAGAACAAAUGUGUAAGUAACUAUGCACGUCUUGACGGUACCUAAUCAGAAAGCCACGGCUAACUACGUG